rnacentral:rRNA from 1 species
UACGUAGGUGGCAAGCGUUCUCCGGAUUUACUGGGCGUAAAGAGCGCGCAGGCGGUCGUUCAAGUCGCGUGUGAAAGCCCCCGGCUCAACUGGGGAGGGUCACGCGAUACUGAUCGACUCGAAGGCAGGAGAGGGUAGUGGAAUUCCCGGUGUAGUGGUGAAAUGCGUAGAUAUCGGGAGGAACACCAGUGGCGAAGGCGGGUUGCUGGGCCGACACUGACGCUGAUGCGCGAAAGCCAGGGGAGCGAACGGG